UCUCUAUGAUGUAUUCCAAUAGAUCCUUCUGACCCUCCAGUGUGCAUUCCAAAGAAGGGGAAAUGAAGAGAUGUGUGACUGAGAGA
rnacentral:snoRNA from 13 species